rnacentral:pre_miRNA from 1 species
CCCAUAGUAUAACUAUGUCCCAUGUGAUAUUUGGGACAUAUUUAUACUAAAA